rnacentral:rRNA from 1 species
GCAUAUCAAUAAGCGGAGGAAAAGAAACUAACAAGGAUUCCCCUAGUAACGGCGAGUGAACCGGGAAGAGCUCAAAUUUAAAAUCUGGCGUCCUCAGGAUGUCCGAGUUGUAAUCUAUAGAAGUGUUUUCCGUGCCGGACCGUGUCCAAGUCCCUUGGAACAGGGUAUCAAAGAGGGUGAUAAUCCCGUACUUGACACGACGACCGGUGCUCUGUGAUACACUCUCUACGAGUCGAGUUGUUUGGGAAUGCAGCUCAAAACGGGUGGUGAGUUCCAUCUAAAGCUAAAUAUUGACGAGAGACCGAUAGCGAACAAGUACCGUGAGGGAAAGAUGAAAAGCAYUUGGAAAGAGAGUAAACAGUAUGUGAAUUGUUGAAGGGAACGAUGAAGUC